ACUUCUUUCAGUUUAGUAUGCUGUAUUCACAGCUCACAAUGUGGUUUCCUUUACAUAGGGGAGACCAAACAUAGACUGGGUGACUGUUUUACCAAACACAUCUGUUCAGUCUGCAAGCAUGACCCAGGGCUUCCUGUCGUUUGAUAUUUGAAUUCCCCACCUAGUACUCAUGCUCCCCUCUCUUGUCGUCUGCCACCUGCUGUGUACCAACGAACCUCAAUUUAAGCUCCAGUGACAGCACGCCUCAUCUUUUGAAUAGGCACAUGACAGUCUCCUUGACCCAGUAUUUGAGUUCAACGGUUUUAGACUGUAAACUCUGUCCCCCAUUUUAUCUCCUCUUUCUUUGCCGGUUUUGUUAUUACUGUCUGGUUUCUUCCUUGUUUUUGCUUCUGGAGGCAGCUGCCAAGCUUCGUUUAAAAUUCUCAUCCUUGUUUUCAAAUCCCUAAGGGUUUUGCCCCCUCCCUAUCUCUGUAAUCUCCUCCAACCCCACAACCUUCCAAAAUACCUCCGUUCCUCUAAAUCUAGCCUCUUAUGCGUUUCUGAUUUUAAUUUCUCUGCCAUAGGUGGCUGUGCCUUCAGUUGCCUAGGCCCCACCUGUCCACCUUGCUUUCCUCCAUUUUAAGACACUCCUUUAAAAUCUAUUUCAUUGAACUAAAAUCUCCUAAUGUGGCUCGUUGUCAUACUUGGUUUUAUAAUGCUCCUGUGAAGCAUCCUGGGAUGUUUCCUUACCUUACCGGCUGGAUAUAGAUAUAAGUGGUUGUUGAGCAUCAGCCUGGAUUGUGUGGAGCUCGGGUCUCUAGUGGGACUUGAACUCAGGACCUUCUCACUCCAGGAGUGCUACCCAGUCAGCCACAACCUUGUCUUGUGCUCCCUGCUUUUGGGGGAAUCUCUUCAAAACCAUCCCCUCACCAGCCUUUGAUUCCUUAGCCUACUCUCUUUAUCCCCCUCUUUAGAAUCACGGGAUGGCUGCAGCACAGAAAGAGUCCAUUCUAGCCCCAGGACUCCAUGCAAGGAGCCUAGAGCAAUGAGGCAAAGAAGGCAGAGGCGGGAGGUACGGCGGAAACUAUCACUGAGGCAAAUACCGGCGAAGCUAACGUUCCCGUUGUGGCGGUUACCUCUCAGGGGUUCGCUUAUGAAGCCGCUGCUGCCAAUGAGGGGGGUGCCUGGUAUGAGGCGCUUAGCUAGCAAGCCCCUGCCACCCACCCGCUGCCUGCCGGUGAAGAAUUCGCGCCUGAAGGUGGAAAGAAGGCUGCCACAUGUGAAAGUAGAGAAGAGGCUGCCAGGAAGGAGCCCACCAACAAAGGUAGCAAGGAAAAUGCCAAUGAGGUGUUUCUUCAGGAACAGCUCAUCAUUUCCAAGGAAGAGGUCGAGGGUUAGGAAUGUCAUCCAGGAGCCGUCUGUCCCAGCAAGGAGAUCCCCAGCCAGUAUAAAUCUUCUUUAUGCUUCUUAAAAUAGCGUUUACUGCAACAAAGCAUACGUGCUACGUUGCCGUGUUAAUUCUAAUUGUUAUUGAAUUACAAAGAGGAAUAAAAGCUUACAAUAAAUCA